UGAGGAAUAUUGGUCAAUGGGCGAGAGCCUGAACCAGCCAAGUCGCGUGAAGGAAGACUGCCUUAUGGGUUGUAAACUUCUUUUAUACAGGAAUAAAAAGGCUUACGUGUAGGCCAUUGCAAGUACUGUAUGAAUAAGCAUCGGCUAACUCCGUGCCAGCAGCCGCGGUAAUACGGAGGAUGCGAGCGUUAUCCGGAUUUAUUGGGUUUAAAGGGUGCGCAGGCGGGCUUUAAGUCAGCGGUGAAAUCUGGACGCUUAACGUCCAAAUCUGCCGUUGAAACUGGGAGUCUUGAGUAUGGAGUGAAGUAGGCGGAAUUCGUUGUGUAGCGGUGACAUGCAUAGAUAUAACGAGGAACUCCCGAUUGCGUAGGCAGCUUACUAAGCCAUAACUGACGCUCAUGCACGAAAGCGUGGGGAUCAAACAGGAUUAGAUACCCUGGUAGUCCACGCCGUAAACGAUGAUUACUAGUUGUAUGCGAUAUGAUAGUAUGUGACUAAGCGAAAGCGAUAAGUAAUCCACCUGGGGAGUACGCCGGCAACGGUGAAACUCAAAGGAAUUGACGGGGUCAUAGCUGUUUCCUG
rnacentral:rRNA from 1 species